GCCAGCAUGGUGUAGUGGUUGAAUGUUGGAUUAUGACUCUGGAGACCAGGGUUCAAAGCCCUGCUCAGCCA